GACGAACCGAGCGAACGUUAUUCGGAAUCACUGGGCUUAAAAGGGCGCGUAGGCGGGCGGUCAAGUCAGGGGUGAAAGCCCCCAGCUCAACUGGGGAAGUGCCUUUGAUACUGGUCAUCUCGAGGGGGAUAGGGGCGUGCGGAACUUCCGGUGGAGCGGUGAAAUGCGUAGAUAUCGGAAGGAACACCGGUGGCGAAAGCGGCGACGCUGGAUCCCGUUCUGACGCUGAGGCGCGAAAGCCAGGG
rnacentral:rRNA from 1 species